rnacentral:rRNA from 1 species
GAUGAACGCUGGCGGCGUGCCUAAUACAUGCAAGUCGAGCGAAUGGAUUAAGAGCUUGCUCUUAUGAAGUUAGCGGCGGACGGGUGAGUAACACGUGGGUAACCUGCCCAUAAGACUGGGAUAACUCCGGGAAACCGGGGCUAAUACCGGAUAAUAUUUUGAACUGCAUGGUUCAAAAUUGAAAGGCGGCUUCGGCCGUCACUUAUGGAUGGACCCGCGUCGCAUUAGCUAGUUGGUGAGGUAACGGCUCACCAAGGCAACGAUGCGAAGCCGACCUGAGAGGGUGAUCGGCCACACUGGGACUGAGACACGGCCCAGACUCCUACGGGAGGCAGCAGUAGGGAGUCUUCCGCAAUGGACGAAAGUCUGACGGAGCAACGCCGCGUGAGUGAUGAAGGCUUUCGGGUCGUAAAACUCUGUUGUUAGGGAAGAACAAGUGCUAGUUGAAUAAGCUGGCACCUUGACGGUACCUAACCAGAAAGCCACGGCUAACUACGUGCCAGCAGCCGCCGUAA